rnacentral:rRNA from 1 species
UACGUAGGGAGCAAGCGUUGUCCGGAAUCAUUGGGCGUAAAGCGCGCGUAGGUGGCUUCGUAAGUCCGUUGUGAAAGUCAAAGGCUCAACCUUUGAAAGCCGAUGGAUACUGCGGAGCUAGAGUACGGAAGAGGCGAGUGGAAUUCCUGGUGUAGCGGUGGAAUGCGCAGAUAUCAGGAGGAACACCAAUAGCGAAGGCAGCUCGCUGGGACGGUACUGACGCUGAGGCGCGAAAGCGUGGGGAGCAAACAGG